rnacentral:lncRNA from 1 species
UGAUUUGGAGUUCUCUCCAGUUGUGGAAACUAAUUGAAGCAUUGUUCAAUCUCCAUUGCAGCUUGUUAGAUCGAUGAAUCAUGUGCUUAGUUCCAUUUUUCUUUAGUGCAUUAUUAUUUCAGUCCUAGUUCUUUUGUAACUCUGACCUAGUAGUUGUCACCAUCAUCCUAGCUCAUUUAACAGAGAAAGAACUAUCAUCCUAGUUCAUUUAACUUAAAGGUAAAUUAUUUCAUAGGACCUUUAAGUUGUCACUAUCAUCCUAUUUCACUAAAGAUCAUCCUAUGAACUAAU